AAGUGGGGAUGACGUCAAAUCAUCAUGCCCCUUAUGACCUGGGCUACACACGUGCUACAAUGGUUGGUACAACGAGUUGCCGAGUCGGUGACGGCGAGCUAAUCUCUUAAAGCCAAUCUCAGUUCGGAUUGUAGGCUGCAACUCGCCUACAUGAAGUCGGAAUCGCUAGUAAUCGCGGAUCAGCACGCCGCGGUGUAAUACCGGUUCCCGGGCCUU
rnacentral:rRNA from 1 species